UACGGAGGGAGCUAGCGUUGUUCGGAAUUACUGGGCGUAAAGCGUGCGUAGGCGGUUAUUCAAGUCAGAGGUGAAAGCCCGGGGCUCAACCCCGGAACGGCCUUUGAAACUAGGUAACUAGAAUCUUGGAGAGGUUAGUGGAAUUCCGAGUGUAGAGGUGAAAUUCGUAGAUAUUCGGAAGAACACCAGUGGCGAAGGCGACUUACUGGACACAUAUUGACGCUGAGGUGCGAAAGCGUGGGGAGCAAACAGGG
rnacentral:rRNA from 1 species